rnacentral:rRNA from 1 species
UACGGGGGGGGCAAGCGUUGUUCGGAAUUACUGGGCGUAAAGGGUUCGUAGGUGGCCAACUAAGUCAGACGUGAAAUCCCUCAGCUUAACUGGGGAACUGCGUCUGAGACUGGAUGGCUUGAGUGCAGGAGAGGAACGCGGAAUUCCAGGUGUAGCGGUGAAAUGCGUAGAUAUCUGGAGGAACACCGGUGGCGAAGGCGGCGUUCUGGACUGCUACUGACACUGAGGUGCGAAAGCUAGGGGAGCGAACGGG